CUGUCUCAUUGCUGUGACAAAGUGCCCAGUGGAACCUGCAUAAGAUGAUUUGCUUGCAUAUGUCCGGAGACCAAGUGUGUUCAGUGCCCACAGGAACCAGAAGAGAGCGUCAGAUUCUCUGGCAUUAAAACUACAGAUGGUCCUGAAUCACCGUGUGGAUGCUGGGAUCCUAACCUAGGUCCUCUGGAAGAGCAACAGUGUUCUUAACACUGAACCACCCCUCCAAGCCCCAGGUGAGUUUAUUUACUUGUUUGUUUACAUUGAUUUAUUGGAGAAAAGUAUGUGUGUGCCCCAGUGAGCGUAUGGAGGUCAGAGGACAGCUUGUGGGAGCCGG
rnacentral:lncRNA from 1 species